rnacentral:sRNA from 1 species
UUGAAGACGGUGCUUUCUCCUCCGGUGGA